rnacentral:rRNA from 1 species
UAAGACGAACUGCCCAAACGUUGUUCGGAAUCACUGGGCUUAAAGGGCGCGUAGGCGGCAACCCAAGUCAGGGGUGAAAUCCGGCAGCUUAACUGUCGAAGUGCCUUUGAUACUGAGUUGCUCGAGGAAGGUAGGGGUCUGUGGAACUUCCGGUGGAGCGGUGAAAUGCGUUGAUAUCGGAAGGAACGCCGGUGGCGAAAGCGACGGACUGGACCUUUUCUGACGCUGAGGCGCGAAAGCUAGGGGAGCAAACGGGAUUAGAUACCCCGGUAGUCCUAGCCCUAAACGUUGAGUACUAGAUAGUAGACUAAUCAUGGGUUUACUGUCGAAGCAAAAGUGUUAAGUACUCCGCCUGGGGAGUAUGGUCGCAAGGCUG